rnacentral:rRNA from 1 species
AGUGAACGCUGGCGGUAGGCCUAACACAUGCAAGUCGAACGGCAGCACAGUAAGAGCUUGCUCUUACGGGUGGCGAGUGGCGGACGGGUGAGGAAUACAUCGGAAUCUACUUUUUCGUGGGGGAUAACGUAGGGAAACUUACGCUAAUACCGCAUACGACCUACGGGUGAAAGCAGGGGAUCUUCGGACCUUGCGCGAUUGAAUGAGCCGAUGUCGGAUUAGCUAGUUGGCGGGGUAAAGGCCCACCAAGGCGACGAUCCGUAGCUGGUCUGAGAGGAUGAUAAGCCACACUGGAACUGAGACACGGUCAAGACUCCUACGGGAGGCAGCAGUGGGGAAUAUUGGACAAUGGGCGCAAGCCUGAUCCAGCCAUACCGCGUGGGUGAAGAAGGCCUUCGGGUUGUAAAGACCUUUUGUUGGGAAAGAAAAGCAGCAGGUUAAGACCCAGCUGUUCUGACGGUACCAAAAGAAUAAGCACCGGCUAACUUCGUG